rnacentral:lncRNA from 10 species
GGGGACACAAAGGGGGAGUUUGCAGGCGUGGCAGGGUGAAAACAAGCCUACAUGGGAAAUGUGUGCAAAUUAGAGAAGACGUGCGAGGAAACUGGAGAAUCCUUGACGAGAUGAAGGCGCUGGCUCUGCUCCGCGCCGCGGUGGCGAAGGCUCCCAAACUUAGGGGGCGCCCGGCUACAGCGCGGGAGCGCGGGCGGCCACCAUCGCGGGGCUCCGCGGCGGUGGGGGUAGGAGGCGGCCGCCCGAGCGGUCCCCGGAGCCCGGCGCCCACACGGGCCCCGCGGCGCAGAGGGCGUCUCCGAGAGCAGGGGCGCCCGCAGGCCGGGGUGCGCGGGCCCCGGGGCUGACAGUCGGAAUCGGAGUCGGAGUCGGAGCCCGAGCCGAGCCGCGCGGCUCUCGCUUCCUGCGAGUCCCAGCGCAGCGAGCAGGCGGCGGCGAGGACUGACGGCGGCCCCCGGGGAAGAGGAGCGGCGGCCGGGCUGCGAGACUGGGGCAGCCACCCGAGCGAGGAGGGAAAGGGGAGGCUUCACAAACCCACACAACUGAAAGAAAGAAAGCAAGCGGUGGGGAAAGGGAGGCGUCUGGUGCCACCACGCUGCGCUCCGGCUCUGUGCACUUCCCGGCUGGGCCGCCGCGGCGGCUGCGGUGAUUUAUGGAACCAGCAAGAGAGGCGGGGAAAUUCCCCCGGUUGCCCCUCCUCUCUCUCCCUGGCUCCCGCCUCAGAACCUGCCCCCCGGGACGCCGGGGGCCGGGGGACCAGCCUCUCUCUCUGCUCGGGGACCGGCCCAGCCCGGGCAGGGGAGCCCACGGACCUUCCCGUGGCUGGAGACGGAGACCCCCGCCAGCGCUCCCCGCCUCCGUCCGCGCCAGGGAGCCCACCCGGCCCAGGUUCCAGCCAUCGAAAAGUCCUUUAAGUUCUAGGACGCUGGCUGUCUGCCUGGCAGCGGUUGGGGAAGAAGGGGACUGCCAUGUGUAACAAAGACUGAGGCUUAGAGAGGUGGAAUAAAUUGCCAGAGGUCACCCAGGGGAUAAGAAACAAAUCCAGAGUUUAAGCACAAGUCUUACUCCAAGGCUAUUGCUCCUAAAUACGAUACAGUUCUCUCUGUCUCUCUUUGGAAAUGAACCAUCUGAUCCCAUCAAAAGCAAGAAAAAAGAAAAAGAACGACUGAACCGGAGUCCACCGCGCACACACCUGUUCUCCCAAGCAUGGAGAGGCAAGGUUAACCUUCCUGUUUGUCCCUGACUACUGGCUCAGGCUCGCUGAGAAAUCACCUGUUGGAAGCACCUGGAACAAGUCAACCUGCUGUGUGUGGAGAACAGCCACUCUCCCUUCCAAGCCCUGUGUGGUUGCUGCUUGCAGGUUCCUGGAGAACAGAGCCAACACUGGAAGGUUAAAGGACUAGUCCAGGGUUACCUAGCAGAGGUGGUAGCAGGAUUAGAACCUGGAUUUAGGACUCUUUUCAUUUUACAGCAAAACCUUCUGUUUUACAUCUUUGACUAUAUUGUAUUAAAAAGUCAUCUUCUCUUGUAAGCUCUCCCUGGCCCAUUUUUACCUCAUUGAGAUCACUUCUCCAUUCUCAACUCCCCUGCUAAUUUUUGUAUUUUUAGUAGAGACAGGGUUUCGCCAUGUUGGCCAGGCUGGUUUCAAACUCCUGACCUCAGGUGAUCCACCUGCCUCGGCCUCCCAAAGUGCUGAGAUUACAGGCAUGAGCCACUGCGCCUAGCCUGUGAUGUUUGUUUUACAUACUAAGGCAAGCAUGUUGAGUGUGGGGACCAAUCCCUUCACCUCCACAUCAUCCACACAAGCACAUAGUAGUACUGGAAAAAUGAUUCUUGAGUUAAUAAUGAGGUAAAAACCUACCUGUAUGUCUUCUAUUCCUGGAGUUGAGCUGACAUUUGUUAGAAAGAUGAUCCUUUAACUUCCG